GCCCGCGUGGCGGAAUGGUAGACGCACCGCACUCAAAAUGCGGCGAUCGAAAGAUCGUGUGAGUUCGAGUCUCACCGCGGGCA
rnacentral:tRNA from 3 species